rnacentral:rRNA from 1 species
UUGAGGAGGACCCGCACAAGCGGUGGAUGAUGUGGAUUAAUUCGAUGCAACGCGAAAACCUUACCUACCCUUGACAUGUCCGGAAUCCUGAAGAGAUUUGGGAGUGCUCGCAAGAGAACCGGAACACAGGUGCUGCAUGGCUGUCGUCAGCUCGUGUCGUGAGAUGUUGGGUUAAGUCCCACAACGAGCGCAACCCUUGUCAUUAGUUGCCACCAUUCAGUUGGGCACUCUAAUGAGACUGCCGGUGACAAACCGGAGGAAGGUGGGGAUGACGUCAAGUCCUCAUGGCCCUUAUGGGUAGGGCUUCACACGUCAUACAAUGGUCGGUACAGAGGGUCGCCAACCCGCGAGGGGGAGCCAAUCCCACAAAGCCGAUCGUAGUCCGGAUUGGAGUCUGCAACUCGACUCCAUGAAGUCGGAAUCGCUAGUAAUCGUGGAUCAGCAUGUCACGGUGAAUACGUUCCCGGGUCUU